GACGGACGCUGGCGGCGUGCCUAAUACAUGCAAGUCGAGCGGGCCAGAACAGAGGGCAACCAGAGUUCUGGUUUAGCGGCGCACGGGUGAGUAACGCGUAGGUAAUCUACUCAGAAGACCGGGAUAACACCUCGAAAGGGGUGCUAAUACUGGAUACGCUCUUUCUCUCGACGGAGGGGAAGAGGAAAGGUGGCGCAAGGCGCAAGCCUGCUACCACUUCGGAAUGAGCCUGCGUCCUAUUAGCUAGUUGGUAGGGUAAUUGCCUACCAAGGCUAUGAUGGGUAGCUGGUCUGAGAGGACGGUCAACCACACUGGGACUGAGACAUGGCCCAGACUCCUACGGGAGGCAGCAUG
rnacentral:rRNA from 1 species